rnacentral:tRNA from 1 species
GGGGAUUUAGCUAAGCGGCAUAAGCACUUGCCUAGCAAGCACAAGGAAGUCCUGAGUUCAAGUCCCGGUACCCCCC